UUUUAUAAAUUUAUACAAGAUCAUAUUUAAUAAUUUAUGAUUAGAAAUAUCUUAUGAUUGCUUAUUUGACUUGGGUUUUCAAUAUAUACAUAUAUAUAUAUCGGUUCUCUUCUCGACCUGACAGUCGAAAGAUAUCCUGCCUCCAAACUCGCCAGCUAUGACGAAAAGUAUACAUAUAUGUAUACAUUCUUAACGUUGCCAAGUAUAUCGAGCCACUUCAUGGUAGUCGAUCUCCUGUCAUUUUCUGAGUUUUCAUGGAGAUUAUUUUAAAAAUUCUCUUCGAAUGAGUCAAUGGCCCUAUAUUUUUAUGGUCACAUAGGAAUCUUUAUAAUAUAAUCUAUGAGGAGCAAUUUUAACAUAAACUAUAUUUAAUCGAUAAGAAAAUGAAUUCUGCAAUCAUAGUGUUGGCGGGAUGGGUUUCUCAUAAGAUGCCGUGUUAUAUUUCUAUUUUUGAACGUAAAUUUCUUGAUAUAAUCUUCGGUAACCUAUUAAAUCCUUUAGCCAUAUGAAAGUUUAUCACGUAAAAAUUAUAUAAUUUAAAAAUCACGAGUUCGUCUAAUAUCGAUUGUCGCGCGACUCCUACCUUAAUGCAUUAUUUAAUAUUAUACGCGUGAAAAUGUAACAAAAUUCGUUGUGUGUGUAUGAGGCAUUAUUUAUCAUCAUAAGAUAUAGUGUGGUUAAGAUCACAAGACAGAAUCGUGUUGCGUUUUACGGCUGUGUUUUACCAGUAGUGAAAAUAUUUCACGCUCGGGUAAGCUCUAGCAUUUUUUUAAAUGAUAUGGAUAACAUUGAAACUAAUCAGUAUAUGUCUAUCAAUGCCUCUCUCUUACUCAUUCGAUCUUGGAGUCAUACACUGCGUAUUGAAAAAAAAAAAAAAACAUAUGAGCUACCGUUUUGUUUUUGAGAAAAAUAUUGUUGUAAUAAAAAUCGUAUGAGAAUCUAAGUGGAAGAAAUUUCAAGGUUCGCAACAUGGCCGUGCUGUCGCAAGACAGACAAGCCGUGUUUAUCACUAUACUGUAGGACGCUGCGCUCGCCUCAGACAGCUAUCCUCGUACAGUGUUGCCACGAUUUACGCGCUUCAGAGCGUUCAUUUGUAUGCUCGUAAUCCAGAUGAAAAUGAUCGAUUAACCAUUUGUAGAAAUUUCAAAUUUAAUUUAAAUAACGGUAAUAGUUUCGAAGAUCUAGGUUAUAACGACUAAUUAAUGGCUACUAAAAAAACGACUUACUGGACGCAACAAAAUUUUUAUAUAAUGCAAACGAAAAUCGCUCUGUCUUUAAUAAAUACGAAGUAAAUAAUUUAAAUUACUGUAGUCAAAAAUGUUUUUUCAACAGUGUACGCACGAAUUUAGUUGUGACAAACAAAGGACCUCACAAAGCAGAGACGUAGAGAAUAGAGCAUUGCAUAUGCGUUGUCGAUUUUUUUUCGCAUUUGGCAACGUAUCGACAACACGCGCGAUGAAUGAGGAAAAUCAAAUCCAUGACAAAUUGAAAAAAAAAGACAAUUGUCUAAAGCGCGUGUGAAGAAAUAACGUGAAAAGAAGCGCACCGAAUCUCAGAAACUGAAUUCUUCGAUACUGAACAAAUACAAAACAAACAAGUUAAAGAAAAUUAUGCCGAACGGAAGAAAGCAAUGGCAAAGGAACGUUCGAAAAAGUAUCGUGAGAAGAAACGUCUUAAUGUUCUAAACGCUGGUCAUCAUGUGGUUCACGAUUCAUAAUUUUCUGGACCUUCGCAUGAAAAUACAUGGCUUGUGUUGAGAAAUCAACAAACUACGAUUCACGAUUCUGAGAUUGCCAGAACAUCCACAAAUAUUAGUAUUCCUCUUGUUGUGCGCGAUGAUUCGAAAAAUUUUAACUGCAUUGGAGAAAAUCUUUUGUCAACAAUAAAAGAAGAAAAUCAACCAGUGCACGUAGAUGAUAAUUUAGUAUCACUAGAAGAUCAAGUGUGCCCUACUCUCAAUGUACAAUUCAACAGAUCAUCCGCGACUUACAAUACCAAUGCAAGUCACAGCAGUGCCCAUAUACAAUUUCAUAAACAGUUUAUUCAGAAUAAAUUUGGUUACGCUUGCAAAAUUUGCGAUAGAUUAUGGUUUAAAGGCGACUUGAAGAAUUUAAUUGAUGAUGGUGUGGAGUUCGUACGAACAUUUCUUCCAAAUGUUGAUCAGAAUUCCACCGCAGUUUGUUCUACUUGUCGAACUAGCAUCAAGAAAAAAUCUAUACCCAAAGUGGCUGUAUAUAACGGUUUUGAGUAUCCUAAAAUUCCUGAUAAUUUGCGGAAUUGUCCAUUGGAUUUAGUGUCCGAAAGAUUGAUUUCUCCUCGAAUUUCCUUUACGCAAAUCAGGAGACUUCGUCAUGUUUAUGGCCAAUACGGGAUUUAUGGACAAGUUAUUAAUGUUCUCGUGGAAGUCAAUACGACGAUGAACAAGUUACCGAGAAAUAUCAAUGAUGAUCAUUGUAUUUACGUACACAUCAAACGAAAAAAGAUUCACAAAUCAAGCUUAUUACACAGUCUCAUUGAUAAAUGCACUAUUGAGGAGUGGCUACAAUACUUGGUGAAUACUCCACUUUAUUUAACAUAUAAUAUAAGCAUAGAUGAGCAGUUCUUUGAUAUCAAACAGGAACUUUCACUCGAUGAUCCCAAUGAAAAUAAGGAAGCAAAUGAUAGCAUUGACCUUGAAGAUACUCGAAUUGAAGAGAGUUUGUCAGCGCAGCAGCAAACAUUAAUGUGGAAUGACGACCUGUAGUCAAGAAUAGCUUCUGGAGAAAAUAAUUUACCUGUAAGUUUAUUAUUUGAGGAACACGCUGAAGAAUUAUCUUUUCCCUCCAUUUAUCUGGGUCAAUGUCGGCAGUUUCGAGAAGGAUUUACUGUUACUCCUUUUAUGAUAACAACUAGUGAAUUAAGACGGUCAGAUAGACGUGGAGUAACGCCUCAUCACUUAUUAUAUUUAACUAUGAAAAUAAUGAGAAUAAGAACAAGGGAUUCCCUCACCGUUGCGUUUAAACACUUAGGAAAAAAGUUUAAACACUUAGGAAACUUGUAUAGUCGAAUAUAUUAAUAAAACCAGGAAAGAAGUAAGUCACUUGCAAAGAAAAAUAAUCGAAACCAUGAAUGAAAAUCCGGAAUUCGAUAUUAUCGAUAUAACUAAAAAUAUUGGUGUGAAGGUACAAAUGAUACCGAAAUCACAAGCUGCGUGGUACUUACUACGAGAGCCCAUGUCAAAAACUUCAGUCAUUGUCGUAUAUAUUCCAACAGUAUAGCCCAUUGAACGUCAGCGUAUGAGAAAAACUAUGCAGGAGUUGUUUGAAUUAGAUGAUGAUUGUCCUGACGUUUGGAAAGAAAACCACAUGAUGAAGUUUUCACUUCUAUCAUGUGGUUUUAAGCACGCGCCAACUUUUUUUGAGAAAAACACUUACGAUCUAUGAGAAAUGGAUUUUAUUGCAAAGUGUCUUAAUAUUUUUUGUAUCAGCGUUUGUAAAUAAAAUUAUUGAAAAAUUGUAUUGUCUGAA
rnacentral:lncRNA from 1 species